CCUGCCUUGUACAGGGGGAUAACAGUUGGAAACGGCUGCUAAUACCGCAUAAGCGCACGGUAUCGCAUGAUGCAGUGUGAAAAACUCCGGUGGUAUAAGAUGGACCCGCGUUGGAUUAGCUAGUUGGUGAGGUAACGGCCCACCAAGGCGACGAUCCAUAGCCGACCUGAGAGGGUGACCGGCCACAUUGGGACUGAGACACGGCCCAAACUCCUACGGGAGGCAGCAGUGGGGAAUAUUGCACAAUGGGCGAAAGCCUGAUGCAGCGACGCCGCGUGAGCGAAGAAGUAUUUCGGUAUGUAAAGCUCUAUCAGCAGGGAAGAUAAUGACGGUACCUGACUAAGAAGCACCGGCUAAAUACGUGCCAGCAGCCGCGGUAAUACGUAUGGUGCAAGCGUUAUCCGGAUUUACUGGGUGUAAAGGGAGCGCAGGCGGUGCGGCAAGUCUGAUGUGAAAGCCCGGGGCUCAACCCCGGUACUGCAUUGGAAACUGUCGUACUAGAGUGUCGGAGGGGUAAGCGGAAUUCCUAGUGUAGCGGUGAAAUGCGUAGAUAUUAGGAGGAACACCAGUGGCGAAGGCGGCUUACUGGACGAUAACUGACGCUGAGGCUCGAAAGCGUGGGGAGCAAACAGGAAUAAAUACCCUGGUAGUUCCACGCCGUAAACCAUGAAUACUAGGUGUAUGGAAGCAUUGCUUCUCGGGGGCGUCGCCAACCCCACAAAGUAUUCCACCUGGGGAGUACGUUCGCAAGAAUGAAACUCAAAGGAAUGACGGGGAACCCCGCACAAGCGGUGGAGCAUGUGGUUUAAUUCGAAGCAACGCGAAGAACCUUACCAAGUCUUGACAUCCUUCUGAUCGGUACUUAAUCGUACCUUCUCUUCGGAGCAGGAGUGACAGGUGGUGCAUGGUUGUCGUCAGCUCGUGUCGUGAGAUGUUGGGUUAAGUCCCGCAACGAGCGCAACCCUUAUCUUUAGUAGCCAGCGGUUAGGCCGGGCACUCUAGAGAGACUGCCAGGGAUAACCUGGAGGAAGGCGGGGAUGACGUCAAAUCAUCAUGCCCCUUAUGACUUGGGCUACACACGUGCUACAAUGGCGUAAACAAAGGGAAGCAAAGCUGUGAAGCCGAGCAAAUCUCAAAAAUAACGUCUCAGUUCGGACUGUAGUCUGCAACCCGACUACACGAAGCUGGAAUCGCUAGUAAUCGCAGAUCAGAAUGCUGCGGUGAAUACGUUCCCGGGUCUUGUACACACCGCCCGUCACACCGUGGGAGUUGGGAAUGCCCGAAGCCAUAAACCUAACCGAAAGGAAGGAGCUGUCGAAGGCAG
rnacentral:rRNA from 1 species